GAUGAAGAACGUAGCGAAAUGCGAUACUUGGUGUGAAUUGCAAAAUCCCGUGAACCAUCGAGUUGCAGCUUGGGGUGAAUGUUGGCCUCCCGUGAGCUUUGUCUCACGGUUGGUUGAAAAUCGAGUGCAUGGUGUCGGGUGUACCAUGAUGGAUGGUGGUUGAGUGAUGAUGCUCGAGACCAAUCAUGGGUAACUCCACCAGAAUUGGGCUCGGUGACCCACAUGCGUCCCUUGGAUGCUCCCUAAGGAGACCUCAGGUCAGGCGGGGCUACCCGCUGAGUUUAAGCAUAUCAAUAAGCGGAGGA
rnacentral:misc_RNA from 1 species